rnacentral:rRNA from 1 species
UGCCCCCCUUGCGCUUCUUGGAAUGGUCCGGAACUGUAGGUUACUUGAAAGAUCUCUAUCUAACCACGGAAGCCCUUGUAACUCUGUCCACGACGUACCGACAGCAGUCGAGCACAGCACUCUACAACCCAAUUCAGGGCAUUGCUCGCGUUGGGAACAGGAAUCAAUGGUCGUGCAUUACCACCCGUGAGAUUCCUCUGACGGCCACUGUUUGGCCUCCUUCCACCCCUACUGCAGUUCAGUAGUACCGGGAAUGCCGGACCCGAUGUGUGCACGAUGUUACCAGCCAUGUCUCCCAACGGUUCGGCGCUCCACCUCGAUUAGGGUCUUUUGGCUAGCAUCAGGCCUAGCGUCAGACGUUGAGCUGACGCACUUCAGCCUUAGCGAUCAUUAGCGC